rnacentral:rRNA from 1 species
UGCAAGUCGAACGGUGAACACGGAGCUUGCUCUGUGGGAUCAGUGGCGAACGGGUGAGUAACACGUGAGCAACCUACCCCUGACUCUGGGAUAAGCGCUGGAAACGGCGUCUAAUACUGGAUACGAGUGGCGACCGCAUGGUCAGCUACUGGAAAGAUUUAUUGGUUGGGGAUGGGCUCGCGGCCUAUCAGCUUGUUGGUGAGGUAAUGGCUCACCAAGGCGUCGACGGGUAGCCGGCCUGAGAGGGUGACCGGCCACACUGGGACUGAGACACGGCCCAGACUCCUACGGGAGGCAGCAGUGGGGAAUAUUGCACAAUGGGCGCAAGCCUGAUGCAGCAACGCCGCGUGAGGGAUGACGGCCUUCGGGUUGUAAACCUCUUUUAGCAGGGAAGAAGCGAAAGUGACGGUACCUGCAGAAAAAGCGCCGGCUAACUACGUGCCAGCAGCCGCGGUAAUACGUAGGGCGCAAGCGUUAUCCGGAAUUAUUGGGCGUAAAGAGCUCGUAGGCGGUUUGUCGCGUCUGCUGUGAAAUCCGGAGGCUCAACCUCCGGCCUGCAGUGGGUACGGGCAGACUAGAGUGCGGUAGGGGAGAUUGGAAUUCCUGGUGUAGCGGUGGAAUGCGCAGAUAUCAGGAGGAACACCGAUGGCGAAGGCAGAUCUCUGGGCCGUAACUGACGCUGAGGAGCGAAAGGGUGGGGAGCAAACAGGCUUAGAUACCCUGGUAGUCCACCCCGUAAACGUUGGGAACUAGUUGUGGGGUCCAUUCCACGGAUUCCGUGACGCAGCUAACGCAUUAAGUUCCCCGCCUGGGGAGUACGGCCGCAAGGCUAAAACUCAAAGGAAUUGACGGGGACCCGCACAAGCGGCGGAGCAUGCGGAUUAAUUCGAUGCAACGCGAA